rnacentral:lncRNA from 1 species
GAGUUUGCGGCGCGCGCGGCUUAGGGGAGCAUGUGUGUGAGAGAGGUUGGGAGGGGAACCUGCAGAAUGAAAACCCCUGGGGGCUUAGGCCGGCUCCGGCCGGGGUCAGGGCACUCCAAGGCAGGAAUUCCAUCUGCGGAUCGCGUGCAUCUGGUACCACGGUUGGGAAGACUGAGCCCCCCACCCCACCCCAUGCACAGCGGCGGGCUGCAGAGGUGGGAGAGAGAGCGAUUGCUCUUGCUCUACUGCCGCGGCCCCCUGACUGGUGCGGAACAUGCUGGCCCGAAUGACCUGCCUGGGACACUGCAGCAUGUCUGGCCACCCUGGUCAUGGGGCAGGCGCCAAGGCAGGGAGAAACCCGAGCUACUCUCCCGCCCUCUAGCCUUGUAGGGCUGCAAGGCAGCACCUGCUCGCCCCACUCUCUCUCCCGCAUCGUCCUGCCGAGAGUGGGCUGCAGGCUGCUAGCCAAGUAACUGCGGGGGCACCGGCUUUGGGGAGAAGGGAGGAAAAAAAAAGUUUGGCGACUGCCUAUGCGAAUGUAUAAGCGUUGGGAGAAAGCCAGAGCCGGAUGCCCAGCUUGGCCUCCGAGAGAUCACAUCCGACCCAGGGCAGGGAUCUGUCCCUGUCGCCUAGCUCCCCGAGUUCCAGAAUUGGGAUUGGCGGCGCUGUCGCUACUACGGGAGAGCGCUACGGCGCAGACAGGGUUAACCUCGCGACGCCGGGGCAGGGGGGAGGAGGGGGCGGGGCCGGAGGAGGGGAUCCCCGGCGUCCGGGGAGGAGCCCGCUCGGGCUUCCCGGGUCCCCCUGGCGGGGGCGGAGGGCUUUCCCCGGGAGCGCCCGCUCACAUUUGCACGUUCUCCCGAACAUGAGGGGCUGGCGCCCCUGGCCGCCAGGUCCGGGGCUCUGACGCUCAGGCGGUCCAGCAGCCUGAGUGGGUAGGUCCGAGGGCUACUUUAGCGGUGUAGACGAGGCUUGUUCCAGGGUCUGGGGGCUGCUUAGCCAGCGCAGACUGCCGGCUUCUCUGUUUUUCCUCUUCCUCCAGACCUGCAGUACAGACACAAAGCAAAGGCGGGUCACGAAUGCGCAGACGCCAAGCAUCCUUAUCGAGACCAGACUGCAGUGGCUGGGUGAGGGGCCUGGUAGUCAUCUGACUGCCAAUUAAUACCGUGGCGACGACUCGACUGAAUAAUCGCCGCCCUUGGACAGGGUGUUUAAACUUAGCUAUACUGACUAAUCGCUCUCUAAUAAACCACUAAAAGUUACACUUUGAAUUUUA